UCACAUGGAUGAGCAAAGAAAGUGGUUUCUUGAAACAAAAACUAUUCUUGAUGAAGAUGUUGUGAA
rnacentral:pre_miRNA from 1 species